CUUUUUUCUUUUGACUGAGUCUCGCUCUAUUGCCCAGGCUGGAGUGCAAGUCCAUCUCAAAACAAACAAACAAACAAACAAACAAAACACAAGAUAUGGAUGGAGACUACCAUAUACCUGCCCAUAUACCUGCUUUUAAGACUCAGUGGCUGGGCGCAGUUGCUCAUGCCUGUAAUCCUAGUACUUUGGGAGGCCAAGGUGGGCAGAUCACCUGAGGUCAGGGGUUCGAGACCAGCCUGGCCAACCACUAUGGUGAAACCCCAUCUCUACUAAAAAUAAAAA
rnacentral:lncRNA from 1 species